rnacentral:misc_RNA from 1 species
GAUGAAAACGCAGUGAAAUGCGAUAAGUAAUGUGAAUUGCAGAAUUCAGUGAAUCAUCGAAUCUUUGAACGCACCUUGCGCCCUUUGGCCAUUCCGAAGGGCAUGCCUGUUUGAGUAUCAUGAACACCUCAACUCUUUAUGGUUUUCCAUGAUGAGCUUGGACUCUGGGGGUUUUGCUGGCUCACAGUCGGCUCCUCUAAAAUGAAUCAGCUUACCAGUGUUUGGUGGGUAUCAUGGGUGUGAUAACUAUCUACGCUUGUGGUUUUUCCACCAGGUAACCUUCAGCAGUGGAGGUUCGCUGGAGCUCAUAGAUGUCUCUCCUCAGUGAGGACAGCCCUUUGAAUGUUUGAUCUCAAAUCAGGUAGGACUACCCGCUGAACUUAAGCAUAUCAAUAAGCGGAGGA